CAAGAAACCUCCUUUCCCUGGCCCCAUCAUUGCCUAUUCCAUCCUUUUGAUAGGUGGUGGGUGUUAAUAUGGCUCUAAUAAAAAGUAAUAACUGCCAAGUUUCCCACUCCACAGCUCUCGGCAGCUCUGCUGUCGCCCUCACCUCAGGCCCCGAGGCAGAGGCGAGGCUGGGGGAGCAGGGAGGAGGGGAAUGCUGUGUUACCCAUUGUCAGAGUGAGGCAUGAGGCCCUAAGCAGAAGAGGUACAAAGAAUGCAACCCCACGUGGAAAGUUGUAGAGGCAGCAAAGUUUGCCUUCUCUUUUGAGCUUCCUGUCGUCUUCCAGGUAUACACCUCCCUCCGGGGGGCGGGGGGCUCCCACGUUCCCUGUCCCCUCCCAGGGCCGCCCUCAGACGACGGAUCAAGCCAAACGUUUAUCCAACAAGUGCCACCAGGUGACGUUGGGCAAGCUUCUUUUCGUCACCGAGCAAGCCUAUUUCCUAAAUGGGAAAAAAGGAUCAAGACCCUGCGCACAAAAAUGCACUACAAAAUGGCGAUCGUUGAUGCUAUGAAGCCCUCAGGGAUACUUGUGUUCUGGACUCACAGGAAUACGUUUCCACCUAUUCAAACUUCUGGGGAAGAAGGCAUGGGGGGCUAGGGCCUCUGCCUGGAAGCUCUGAAAUCAUCGUGGUCAGCCUGCGCAGGCGUGUGUGCCCUGGACCGGUAUCCCACCGCGAAGUCAACUCCCUCCCAAAGCCCACUCUUCAGGGUGAGUCGGGUGGGCGCGAUGAGUCCCUCAGGUUCCCUCACCCAUACUUUCUCCCCGCUUUCCCUAUAGGUCAACUCAGCGUCUUUGAGGCGUUUCCUGACUGCUGACCCAGUGGUGCAAGAGCCGGAUUUGCUGGCACUCAGCCAAGCCACUUUUGUGCCUGGGCCUUGAGGGGGGACCCUGGCCCAUCAUAAGCCCAUUCCCAUUUUACAGAGGGGAAAAACAAGGCAAAAGGGGGAAGCCAGUGAAGACCACGAAACCUUGAGUUCAAAUUUCCUUUUUCCUCCUUCCACCGCCCCACCUUGGUUUUUUUUUUUUUGCCGCAUCUCAUACCCUAAUUUUCCCGCUUAGGAGGGCUGCUCAAUCUUCGGGGCCCACCUGCGAGGCGGCGGAGCGUCGCCGCUUUAAGGAGCAGGGCGCUCGCCCCGCCCCCGCCCUCGCCCUCGCCCCGCCCCCCGGGGCUGCAGCGCGCCUGCGCCCGGCGCCGGCGACCCGGGUUGGGCAGAGCCGGGCGCCGUGCAACUUUCAAGUGAGCUGGGAACUCCGCCCCGCGGCGGGCCAGGCGCCUGGGCCGCGGGGACCGUUCGGGCGAGGACUGCGACCCACCACCCCCGGCCCGGACCCGCCGUGGUGCCCCGCGAGGGCCGAACGCCUGGCUCCCCGCGGCAAGCAGUGCAAGUCGUGACUGCCGGGCGGCGCGGCGGGCAGAAGAGCGCGCCAGCCGGUACCGGCUCCCGGCCGGUGCCUCCGUGUGUGGCCUGCCUGCCCGGCCUGCUGGGCUCCCCCUUCUUCCGGCUAGCCGCUCUGCGGAGUUAGGGAGCGGCAGGUUCCGAUUUGGGGGUGCCCCUUCCGUUCCCGCUCCUCCACUGACUCCGCAUCCUGGCCCCGCGGGAGCGUGCCUCUUGGCGUCUUCUUGGGUGGUCUCCCUUCACCCCCGAGGCUGCAGGAUGGUGUCCUGGAUGAUCUGUCGCCUGGUGGUGCUGGUAUUUGGGCUGCUGUACCCAGCUUAUGCUUCGUACAAGGCUGUGAAGACCAAGAACAUUCGUGAAUAUGUCCGGUGGAUGAUGUACUGGAUAGUCUUUGCACUCUUCAUGGCAGUGGAGACCUUCAUGGACAUCUUUAUUUCCUGGUUCCCUUUCUACUAUGAGAUCAAGAUUGCUUUUGUGCUGUGGCUGCUCUCGCCCUACACCAAGGGGGCCAGCCUGCUUUACCGCAAGUUCGUCCACCCAUCCUUGUCCCGCCAUGAGAAGGUGCCCCAGCGUGAAGGCAGGGAGGAGAGCAUGGCAGGGAGAUCGACACCUACAUUGUGCAGGCCAAGGAGCGCAGCUAUGAGACAGUGCUCAGCUUUGGGAAGCGGGGCCUCAACAUUGCUGCUUCAGCCGCUGUGCAGGCUGCCACCAAGAGUCAGGGUGCGCUGGCUGGAAGGCUGCGGAGCUUCUCCAUGCAGGACCUGCGCUCCAUCCCUGAUACUGCCCCCACCUACCAGGAUCCCCUCUACCUGGAGGACCAGGUUCCCCACUGCAGGCCACCCAUCGGGUACCGGUCAGGGGGCCUGCAGGACAGUGACACUGAUGGCGAGUGUUGGUCCGAUACAGAGGUAGUUCCGCAGCCACAAACCCGGCCCCCCCGAGAGAAGCCUCUGAGCCGCAGCCAGAGCCUGCGUGUGAGCAGGAAGAAGCCGCUGGUGCGGGAGGGCACCUCACGCUCCCUGAAGGUUCGGACGAGGAAAAAGACCGUGCCCUCAGACAUGGACAGCUAGGGUCUGCAGAGCCCGGCCCAGUCUUACCUCGGGCCCUGCAGGGUGCUGGGGGCUGUUUGAGGAGCCUCUGGCUGCACGUCCAGCCUAUCCGCACCAGCUGCCCGAGCUCUGCCCUGCCGGCUCCUGCUCUUGGUUACGGGCCACACGCAGGGACGUACUGGCUAUGGGCCAAAGCGGGCUGGGCCCACGCUGCUGUUUACUGCCCUUCUCAUCCCUCCGCCUUCCGGGUGUGGGACCAGAGCCCUCCCCAGACCCCUGCAAAUGAAACCCAAAACCUUGCCAGCUGUUUUCAUUCCUUCCUGUCCUUCCAAAUACUUGACAGCCUUCUCCAAGGCCUUGUGUGUAUCCUGGUUGUAUGUUUUGUGUUGGUGAAUGAGGUCAGGUUUGUGCAGUUUUGAUAAAUAGCUACAUGAAA